GCCGGGGUAGCUCAGUCGGUUAGAGCGGACGUUUCAUAAGCGUCAGGUCGACGGAUCGUUCCCGUCCCCCGGCA
rnacentral:tRNA from 1 species